GUGGAAUUUGUCAGCUCCUAGGGGGCCACAGUAAGCAUCCUUCUGACUAACAGUCUUUGAGCACUCUGUCAGGAGUUAUGGGAAUUUGGAGUUAUGUGCUGCUGUUGAAUGGCUCAGCAAAAUAUGGUUGUAAAGUCAUCUUUGGUCUUCUCUAAAGGACCAUCAAGAGAUGAGAGACAUCUUUGACAUGGCAGUAUGAAAGGCAGGAAUUCUCCAGCACACCAGGAGCUCUGCCUGCUGGCUCUUCUGAUUGCAAGCAUAAAAUGGAGUCCUGCAUCCCUGAAAAUGAGACAGUGUAAAUUCUGUUGAUCUUUCUUCCCAAGAUCAUGCAUUAACAGCAUUCUGGCAGGA